rnacentral:lncRNA from 1 species
GGAAGCUCAAAGAGAAGUCACUGGGUUUGAAUUCCCAUGAAUUAGUCACAUCAGCACUGCUGUGUAGAGAUGUGGAGCUUGACCAGACUGAGAAAGAAGCAUGUUUCUCUGACUGAGAGGCACAGUGGGAAAUUUCAGCACACAGAGCACACAGACAAGAAUGCAAAGUUGAUGUUGUGGUCUCUUCUGGAGAAGCAGGGGGUGCAGCCCUUCUCUUGGUGGGGUGAACAGGGGCAUCCCUCUUGCAAUGUGAGAAGUGCCUGCAGUGGGCACCAGGCCCUUCAAAAUCAUUGCUUCCCCCCAGGGGGAUGUAAAUGCUUCCCCUCCACCCACAGCUUCUUAAAAUGAAACAAAGCCAUCAGAUACAAGAGAAGGAUCUGCACUGCGCAUUGAUGGAGGUGGAGAGCUUUUGGGGCCAACACAGCAGACAACAGGAACACUGUUGUGUGUCCCCACUGGCGAUGCUGAAGACUAAACAGAGCUUGUUUUUGGUUCAGCCCAUUGAAAUCUCUUUCACUUGGGAGGAGUAUGUCUCCAUGAUGCUCUGCACGGGUUUUGGCCUACGCACCUUUAACCUCAAUGCAGGCAUCCAGGAAGCUGUUGGAAUGGUGAGCGCAUGCUGCUUACGUGAGUGAGGGCUGAGAAAAGCUGCAGUGCCCUUUCACCACCCUUUUUCAAGGAAAAUGGAAUGAGGAGCUUUCCAUGGCUGGCCUUGAGCCUCUGCUUACUGUCAGCGGCGCGUCCUCCCACAUGCCCCUGUGUCCUUCAAUGCUUG